GAGCCGUUCCCCUCCACGCCUGCGGUCUGACACGCACUGAAUCUUCAGCUAACAAGCUGUUUACACAUUAACGAGCCUGGAUUUACUCACACUCAUACACAUCCCUCGUUCACUUUCACACCGGAGCCAGCCAGUGGUGUCCAGAUGUUUCCUCUGUGGAAGUGAGCGAGCAGGCCUCUCCACGCUGCACCGCGGGGCAAAUAGCUCUGAUUUACUCUCUCCGGAUGUGGCAGGAGCGCCGUGAGGGAGGAAGUGCGAACCGACGAGCCUCUCGCCCGCCGUGCCGCCCGCUGAUAAGACCCAGCGUGGAAAAUUGUAAACAGACCGGACCUGGAAGCGGCACGUUCUCCCGGUUUAACGGAAACCUGCUUGGAAGAACUGCGUCCAGCUCAUGAGCACGUGCAGCGAAAAUUUCAUCGUUUUAACACCAUAAAUACCAUCUCUCUCCUUAAAACACUGGUUUUGACAUGACUGGCGCCCCUCGAUUAAUAUUACAUGAAGCCUACCCUGGAUAUAACACCGGCACCGACCCGCUUCCCGUCACGUCUGACAGCGUCAGAGACACGUGUAGAAGAUCUUUGGACGCGUGACAUCCCGAGAGGCAACUUUUAAGAAAAUAACAGCUCUUCUCCUCCAUGACGUUCUCCUUGACGAUCGGAUCAGCCGCUGACCGGUCGUAGCCAACGAGCCGGGUUUUGACGCAAUCAAAACAAAAACAUAUCUUACCGACAGCUGUGUGGCUCAGUGGUGAGCACAUCUGCCUCACGCCCCCGGGGGGAUGUGGGUUUGAAUCCCGUCUGCGUGCGUGGUGGAGUUUGCAUGUUCUCCUUGUGCUUCGGGGGUUUCCUCCAGAAGCCAUGUUUGUGAAGGCAACAUCUGCGUUCGCUCGCUGAUGAACAGACUAAAGGAUGGACGGAGAUUCUCUCUGAGUUUUACAACAGCAUCUUUUUUUCUGUGGAGAUGAAAGUGUGUAACAGAAAGCUUUGUCUGACAGGAAGAAAAGAAAAAAAAAACCCAAAACAAAACAAGACAAACACCUGAAAGCUGUUUCUUCGUUGGCUCUCGUCCAUACGACACUGCCAAGAAACACUCAAACACAGACCUUAAGAAAGAUGGAGGAUAAUAAACAGAUCCCCGGCAUGAUGGAACCCAGGUGGAGCUUUUUCCUCAGUCCUCAGCCCCGUCCCGGCUCCUGCUGAUGGUUAGCGCUGUCGGAUUCUGGAUUCUGAUUGGUCUGAAGUUACUAUAACAGCAGCACCGACAGUACUACAGCCGUUGUUCUUAUACCUUAUCGUUUCCAUAGCAACAGCUCAUCCUCAGGGACUAGUACAGCAGACGCCCCACGGGAUCGAACCCUGAUGAUAAAAAAUGGAUUUGAUCACGAUGUAUAUUUAGCAUUUUUGGAAGGAGUCUCCAGUGUCAGCGCUUUGUAAAGUUGAGGAGUGAAGCUGAUACUUUAGGUUUUCCGUCUUCAGGACGCUUUGCGGUUUCUAAGUAACCUGACAAGCUGUGUUUUUUUUUUGUUUGUUUUGUUUUUUUUUUGUGUGUGUGUUUUAAACUUCAAGAGAACAUAAAAUGUAACUACAAAUGGAUAAAAAAAAAACACGGCAUGGCAUUUAGUAAUAAAUUACAAGUUGUAAUUGUUGGUAAACUUCAGUGGUAUUAGAAGAAUA
ensembl:lncRNA